rnacentral:rRNA from 1 species
UAUUUAAGGUCUGACCUGCUCAAUGAAAUUUUAAAUGGCCGCGGUAUUUUGACCGUGCAAAGGUAGCAUAAUCAUUAGUUUUUUAAUUGAAAGCUGGCAUGAAAGGUCGAAUGAGAAAAAAUCUGUCUCUUGGAAAUUUUAUUAGAAUUUUAUUUUUAAGUAAAAAAGCUUAAAUAAUGUUUAAAGACGAGAAGACCCUUUAGAGUUUUAUAUAAAUUAAUAAUUUAGAAUUUUAGAAUUCAUAAUUUAAAUUAGGAAUUUAUAUUUAAUUGGGGUGAUUGAAAAAUUUAAUGAACUUUUUUUUAUUAAACCAUUAAUUUAUGAAUAAUUGAUCCGUUUUUAGCGAUUAUAAGAAUAAAUUACCUAAGGGAUAACAGCGUUAUUUUUUUUGAGAGUUCAAAUCGAAAAAAAAGAUUGCGACCUCGAUGUUGGAUUAAAAUUAAAUUAUGGUGCAGUAGUCAUAAAUUUAAGUCUGUUCGACUUUUAAAAUUUUACAUG